AACGGAGGGAACAAGUGUUAUUCGUAUUAAUGGGUGUAAAAUGCGUGUAGGUGGCGUUUCAAGUCUUAUAGUAAAUGUUUUAUUAAAAAUAAAAAUCUAUAAAAGUACACGGUUACGCUUGGGUCCUUAUAAAAUAACAGUAUUUUAAGUGUAAGAUGACAUUUUAACAUAUUUAAAAGACUAGCAAUUGACGAAAGUGGUUAUAAAGAAGGAGACUGACACUGAAACGCUAAAGCUUAGUCGCAAAUAGG
rnacentral:rRNA from 1 species